AAGUCGUAACAAGGUUUCCGUAGGUGAACCUGCGGAAGGAUCAUUAUCUACUGGUGAAUGCGUAGCACCUUAAAUUCGCAACCUAAUUGUGUGAACCAUCCUGCUGUGUGGUGGGAACUCAGAUGUCGAGCGUUCGUAAGAACAGGUAGCUCUGGGUGACCAUCACCCCAUAUUUACCCUCUUUUUACCAUAACUUGAUUAUUACCGAAGGACUUGUCCUGAGGGAAGAAAUACAACUUUUAGCAACGGAUCUCUAGGCUCUC
rnacentral:misc_RNA from 1 species